GUUUACAUUCCCGAUUAGGAACGGCUUGGAGCGUAGAAUUUUCUUAUAUAUCAAGUUAAAAUUAUUUUAUAUUCAAUAUACGAUUACAUACAUAUAAAUAUGUGAUGUUUAACUAAUUUUUACUGUAACAAGAAGUAACAUACCAUUAUUUACAUCAGUACGUUCAACGAAUAUCGAUUCAUGAUUUUCGUCAUUAUCAAAUGCUGUACCCGAUUGAAAGAUUAAGAAUGAAGUUCUUCUAUUUUCGGAUGAAGAUUAAUAGCAUCAACUUCUACUUGAUUUUUAUUCUCCAUAUCUUCCUUAAAACGUUUUAUUGCAUCUUUACUUUCUUCAUUAAAUUUAUGCUUCCUUUUUCUUGUUCCAUAUGGCUUUUUAAAUACGUAUUUAGAUUUUAAACAUCUGUUGUAUAAGAAUAGAUAGAUAUAUAUUAUUUUGUAAGAAAAAUUACAUUAACGUUUUAUCUGGUUAUCAAACAUUAUUACUUUAACGGACUAGUUUUAAUUUUAUUCUUUAAAGUUUCAAAAAAAUGAGUGUCAUCUUCAUCAUUUUUGUUUUCUAACAUUGGUUGUAUCAAAGAUUUAUGAGAUAAAUUUUGUCGAGUAAUGGCGGGAGAACAUAUGAUCCCUAAUGAAAAUAAGUUUCUUCUGAAUAAAAAUUAUACAGAAUAAUUGUAGAAAUAAUUAAUAUUAAUAUUUGGAAUAUAAAUACUUGAACAGAUGGAAUUUAAUUUUUCCGGAUCCAUGGUAGAAGCCUUUGUUUUUGAUGAUAUAGAUUCAUACGAGUUCAUUUGUCAUUUGUACAAAUUAAUAAUUAGAAUAACAGAUGAAACUUCUUCAAUUGUUACUUCAAUUGUUAAUAUUACAUCACUAAAUUAUGACAAUUAAUGUAAUAAAAUUUUAAAUAUAACACAAAUAUUUCAAAUAUAAUAUAAAAAAAUAAGUGAUAGUUUAAUAAAAAAGAUAUAGUCAAAAAUGAAUAAGAAAUAAAGAA